UCGGCAGCUGAGGGCUGGCUGGAUGAGCUGUUCAUUUAUUAUCUGCUGCUGCUACAGGUAAUCCUGAUGAUCGCGUCACUACUAGAGAGAGUUGGACACACCAAGAGAAGAGACUGAUUUGAAUGUGGCCACAGGACAUGCACAAAUAUAUUCUUAGCCCAUGGCCUUUUAAAAAACACACACACACACACAAAGCAGAGUUCAGCAGCUGAAACCAAGUGCUUGUUUCUCAGCUGACCCAGUCAGCAAAGGGCAAACGGACUGUUCUUACAUAACUUGGAAAUGCUCAGGCUUGUGUUGUUGUGACAUAAUAAGGGAUCAGCAGGGCUAGAUAAUGUUUGUUCAACAACAUUGAAGAGCAGCAGACUCAUGAAACAGAUCGGGUCAAAUGGCGUCUGAGUGAGAGGAAACGCUGCGGCCGUGGCAGUAGCACACAGUGCUAUUUCAGCAACAGGAACUUUUCCACACAUGAGAUUGCCAGAGGAAGGUAUUGACUCCACUGGAUGGUGGAUGAUGGAUGAUGACAGUGCGGCCGACAUACCUGAUGUGGGUUCAACCUGCACAAUGAUGUCAUCUUGAACUGGAAUAAACCCUACUAGUGGACCACAACAGAAGGAAAGGAGGGGCCUCCAUAAAAACAAUGUCUCCCUGCACAAUUCACUGCAUUUGCCACAUAUGCAUUCAUUCUUUCACUAUCAGAAUUGAAAAUGCAAGUGUGCGUGUUUGCACAUAUGCAUAUAAUAUGAAUAUUGAUUAGCACCUAUUUGGGUCAGACGAUGGAUUCUGAUGUAUUGUGCGAAAUCCUGUAACAUUAAUGUUUUAAAUGUGCAGCCUGAUUAUUAAUAUGAAAGAUAAAGGUUUUUUUUAAGCAGGUUUCAAAAUGACAGGUGCAUAAAUAGAGUGUGAUGUUAA